ACCUGUAAAGCCAAAGGCUCUCCUCCCUCCAUUACUGCUGGAAAAAUAGCAAAAUGUUUCCUUUUGAUCAUUCUAGCUCAAUAUCAUCAUUAGCUGUUGCUCGUGUGAUGGCUACAAUAGACUAGUUAAUAUUGUGCCAAAGAAACCACCACUGCUAGACAGACCUGGUGAAGGAAGCUACAAUAGAUAUUACAGUCAUGUUGAUUACCGAGACUAUGACGAGGGCCGCAGUUUUUCUCAUGAUCGAAGAAGUGGUCCACCUCACAGAGGAGAUGAAUCUGGUUAUAGAUGGACAAGAGACGAUCAUUCUGCAAGCAGGCAACCUGAAUACAGAGAAUCACCUGUUGGCCGAAAGGAUUCUCCACACAGCAGAUCUGGUUCCAGUGUCAGUAGCAGAAGCUACUCUCCAGAAAGGAGCAAAUCAUACUCUUUCCAUCAGUCUCAACAUAGAAAUAAAGAGAGGCCUGUCCAGUCUUUGAAAACAUCAAGAGAUACUUCACCCUCAAGUGGUUCAGCAGU
rnacentral:sRNA from 1 species